CUGCUCAGGAACGUUUUUUCCAAUCAAGGUCUCGCUGCUUUCUUCCCCUCUGAUGGUGAGGAAAUGUUAAGUGAGAGCUUUCACAGCAGAGUUAAUGCUGUUAAUAGCUCAGCUAUUUCAUCCUUGAAUUCCUUUGGAGCUCUGGAAUGAGAAGCAGCCGGCACUAGCCGAGUGUUACCGUUUAUUUUGUCAGGUUGUUUUAUAACUUCAUCCACCGAGACAGCACUUGGAGCCACAUUUUCUGACUCGUCCUCCAUCAAGGUUUCCAGACUGAGGAUUCCUGGAAACUCCUUUUUCCUAGAAACCUGCAGUAGGUUCUCUGCUGAAGUUUGAUCCUCUUCAUUCCGUGCUUUGCAUAAUUCCAAAUACUUGGAAUAAUCUUCUUCCUGCUCAGGUGCACAGGAGCCAGCAGUGCCUCUGGAAGAGGAAACCUCAGGGAAACACCUUGCAUGAGGAAUGAGGAUCGUGAAGGGUCAGGGCAGGAUGGAUCCUGUGUGUGUGGACACGGGAAGGAAAAAGCCUCAGGAUGAUGUUCUGGGAAUUUCCUGCCUGCCUGGGACCUGCUCUGGGCUCUGAGGCUGCAGCUGCAGCUCCAGUGCAGCGUUCAGUGACUGCAGAGCUGUUCUGACUCCUUCCCUAAUUGCCAGAUUUUCCAGGGUUCUAAUUAAAACAGGAGCUCUGUGUAAUUCCAGCACCCAUUGGAUGCAGCUCCUGCAGGGAAUUGGAUUUAAAAAAAAAAAAAAAAAAAGAUAAUAAACCAUUUCUUUUCCUACA
rnacentral:lncRNA from 1 species